AACAAACGCUGGCGGCGUGCCUAAUACAUGCAAGUCGAACGGGGAAAGCUUUCGGGUGAGUACUAGUGGCGCACGGGUGAGUAACGCGUGGAUAAUCUGCCUUAGAGCGGGGGAUAACGACUCGAAAGGGUCGCUAAUACCGCAUGAGACCACGGGGUCCUCGGAUCCUGGGGCCAAAGGCGGCAUCGGCUGGCCGGUGCUGUCACCUGGAGAUGGGCCCGCGUCCGAUUAGCUAGUUGGCAGGGUAACGGCCUACCAAGGCUCCGAUCGGUAGCUGGUCUGAGAGGAUGAACAGCCACACUGGAACUGGAACACGGGCCAGACUCCUACGGGAGGCAGCAGUGAGGAAUAUUGCGCAAGGGGGGAAACCCGGACGCAGCAACGCCGCGUGGGUGAAGAAGGCCUUCGGGUCGUAAAGCCCUUUCGGACGGGACGAACGCUUCGCGGCGACAACCUGCGAAGUCUGACGGUACCGUAGGAAGAAGCACCGGCUAACUACGUGCCAGCAGCCGCCGUAAAAC
rnacentral:rRNA from 1 species